rnacentral:rRNA from 1 species
UACGUAGGGUGCGAGCGUUGCCCGGAUUUAUUGGGCGUAAAGGGCUCGUAGGCGGUCCGUCACGUCGGGAGUGAAAACUCGGGGCUCAACCCCGAGCCUGCUUUCGAUACGGGCGGACUAGAGGUAUGCAGGGGAGAACGGAAUUCCUGGUGUAGCGGUGAAAUGCGCAGAUAUCAGGAGGAACACCGGUGGCGAAGGCGGUUCUCUGGGCAUUACCUGACGCUGAGAAGCGAAAGCAUGGGGAGCGAACAGG